rnacentral:rRNA from 1 species
UACGUAGGUGGCAAGCGUUGUCCGGAUUUACUGGGCGUAAAGAGCGCGCAGGCGGUCGGCCGAGUCGAGUGUGAAAGCCCCCGGCUCAACUGGGGAGGGUCAUUCGAUACUGGUCGACUCGAAGGCAGGAGAGGGAAGCGGAAUUCCCGGUGUAGUGGUGAAAUGCGUAGAUAUCUGGAGGAACACCGGUGGCGAAGGCGGCAUCCUGGACCGAGAUUGACGCUGAGGCGCGAAAGCCAGGGGAGCAAACGGG